AAGGCUCAGUAUAACAGCUAUUAUUUAUUUGAUCGUAAACAUAGUUACUUGGAUAACUGUGGUAAUUCCAGAGCUAAUACAUGCAAACAACAUGGAUCCCUGUAGCAAUAUGGGUGAAACAUGUGCUUUUAUUAGAUUAAAACCAUAUCCAUCUAUGGUGGAUUUGUUUUAGAUGAAUCUGGAUAAUUAUGGCUGAUCGUAUGGUCUUGCACCGACGAUAGAUCAUUCAAAUGUCUGCCCUAUCAACUAUUGAUGGUAGUAUAGAGGACUACCAUGGUUGCAACGGGUAACGGGGAAUCAGGGUUCGA
rnacentral:rRNA from 1 species